CUCGUAUUGCGCCGGCGCAGCCGUGCGUCGCCCAGGCUGUUGGGAAUUGAUGGCUGUUAGCGAGUAGGCUGAGAUGCUUGGCGGCGCCGUUUCUGUGGCAGUCGCCAGUUACCCGACGCUCAGACGCCACCAUCUCCAGCAGCCGCCAUCCGUGAAGCAGCUGAAAAUUGUCUCUCGGGGAAUUUUAGUCUUGUUUGGAAGCAGCCCCGGCCAGGCAGUCCUCUUUUAUUUAGAAACACCCAGGACGUGAUGGACACCUCAGAAAUGUCAUCCCUCCUUUGACUUCCAUAGGAAGCUGAAUUAUAAAAUUGAAUAAUAGUUACUUUGAAGAAAGGAAAGAAAAAAGGAAAAAUUCACACACAUGUGUACAUGUACACAAAAUAAUCUCGAGGAUGGAACCAGCAACUGCUGUGAUGACCUCAGUGGGGGAGAGACUGGGUGGCUGAGGAUGGGCAUGAGGAGUGUUCUUUUUUGGGGGUUUUUUUUGUGUGGAGGUUUUUUGCGUGGUUUGGAAUUUGGUCAAUGUGCAUGUAUUAUUUUUUAAAUGUUCAUUUGACUCCUUUAUCAAGACGUAGAUAGGAAGAAAAUGUGGAAAUUUAAAAAGUCUAAGUAGAAUCCAGUAAUACUGGGUAAAAUUGGAUGUACGUGUGAAGAUCAAACGUCUUGUGUAAACCACGAAGUCUUCCUGUUUAUUUCUGGACGGAGAUGUUUGGGGGUUGCGGCAGGAGGGUACAGGAAAAGAGGAGCCAGGCAUUUUCGGAAAAUUAUGACAGUGGUGGCAUACAGGAAGCAAGUCUUUAUCAUCUCAAUCAUUGUAUAUUCACUUUGGAUUAGCUGAAGAAAACCGAACGGUAAAUUUUAGUGUGAGCUCACUGAAGUCAAACGUAGAUUGGAAGGGGACAUUUGAUGUUUAUUUUUGUAAAGGAAAUUAAUUGGGUGUGACUGGCAGGGUUGAGACCUGAAGUUCCUCUUCUAGAUAAGGAAAACUUCCCGUAGUGAGGAAUCUCCAGACUGUUUAUGGUAAAUUCCUGUCUCCAGCCUUGCAAGAUAAUUUUAGACUCUCUCUAGAGGAAGUAGUGAGGAAAAAAGUAGGCAACUGUGCCCAAGAGGAUUUGCAGACAAAAAUCUCAUACUGAAAGAAGAUUCUGGACACUUCUCAGUCCCUAGGUCAACUGAAUCAGUUCAACUUCAUUCUCCAAUCAGUGGUUAGUGGAUGUAGACAACUGUAGGAAUUUGAGAUGGGUUGGGAAUCCAAAAAGUUGAAAGUGUGAAGUCAAAGGCCAGAAGUUUAUAAUGUUGCUUCUGAGUUUGCCUUGUUUGUAAAUAGGAAGCCAGAAGUUGAGCUCCCAAAUAAAAUAUUUCAGGAAUAGUGUUUCUUAAAUAACUCCGAAAGUCACUACAUCAACAAAGGAAUAAAUGGAACCUAGUGGGUAAUGCUUCAAUCAGACAGAGUAAUGAGCAGUUCUUGGAGAUAGAAAUUCCCCAUAGAGGAGAAAAAACACAUCAGAGAAGAACAUACUUAAUAAAAUUUAUUUAAGAAAACAAUAAUUUAUGCCCUUGGCAAAAUAAAGGAUCUUGUUAAUAUAAAUGUUUCUUAGAAAACAUAUGAAAAGAUAAUAUAAUAUAUAUAUCAAUAAAUCAAUAUCAACAUUACAGCAAAAGUAAUGAUUCUAUAACAAUAAGUGAGGAUAUUUCUGGCCCUUAGUGGUGUUUCUGGAGGGUCCUCUGAUUUCUCCCUUUUUUAGUACAGAUGUGCCCUCAUUUUAAGAAAAGCUGAUACAUACAUAUCUAAAUCUAAAAAAUUGAUCAAUUAAAGGAUAUUUUUUCACGUCACGAAAUAAUUGUUUCCCCAAAAAAUCAACAAAAAGGCUUCUGUAAGGGAUCCUUAAAAUUAGCAAAUUUUCUUAACACAUUUAGAAUAUAAUUAACCAAAUACAUGUGUCUCCAACUUCUUUUGUUAUAGCUCUAUUGCGUAAAGUGAGGUAUACCCGAAGUGAGGCAGUAACAGGGUUGGGCUUCAGUUCUGGCUGGGGAGAAUGUGUUCUUAUAGUAUGAGGAAGUGGUUGGGGCACAAGUUCUCUCAAUCUUUUGUUUCUCUCACCCUGAGCUCUUAAUUGUCUUAUCUCUACUGCUUUCUGGUAAACUUUGUUCACCUGGUACUCUCAAGAGAAAAAGAAGAAGUCAUGUGGGAG